GAAUGUGUUGUGUUAGAUAUUAAUGGAGAGGGCAUCAGAAAGAGGGAUAGGAAUGUGCAAUGUGGGUGGCAAAGAGCAGGGAUUUGGAGUUACAAGCAGGCCUGGCGAUUUUAAUACGACCAUGUUGAUGCAUCUUUUGUGGAGGGUGUGUCACAUACUACACACACCAAAGAGCUCAUUUUUUUUAAGGCCGAGCUCAGUUUAUUGCAUUUGCAGCUGACAAACCUUGUUCAUCAUGUGGUACAAAGGUAAUGAAAUCCAGGAUCCUCUGCUUUAGGGUACUGGAUGGCUAGAUAUCCAGGAGGAGCUGGGCAGGUCACGCAAUCAAGGAGCACUGGAAGGCCCGUGGCUGAUUGGUCAGCAUUGAUGAUGGAGGCCAAGCCAAGCCACUCCCACCCAUUUGUACACUGAUGUAAAUGACUCCCGUAACCAGGAAACUCAGAAACGGAUUCAUACUCAAGGCUAGGGGAGUGGAGAGGUUUCGGAGUUUAGGCAAGCGCUGUUUGGGUAUACCGUGAAGACAAACACAUCCCGGUGGAUCUGCAAGGAGUGGAGCUGUUUUGGGCCACGCUGAGCCGUAAAGGAUCCAGACAAGACCCCCCCCCCCUCCCGGAAGGUAACAUGCCACCUGGAAACAUCUCAUCUCUCCAGCUCAGGACCCGUGAUGGUAGCACUCUGGGAAAGUACAGGCACCACAUGCAGAUGCUAUAUGCGUGUUAGCAUCUCGGCUGCGGGAUCGCAGGACAGGCCUUCGGAGAACAGAGCUGCGCUACAUCACGAUCGGCGAGUCCGUAACCCUCCGACACCCAGAGCCGCGUGACCAUCUCAGUGACGAGCCGACUCAAAGUCUCUGCUAAAACA